UUUGUCUGUUUACAAACUUUAUAUAAAUGGAAUCAAGUAUACAGAGAAGAGUAGCAUGGUCCCUGUGCAAGGAUGACAUGCAAAUUUAUGAAACAUUCAUAAAAAAA
ensembl:snRNA U6 U6 spliceosomal RNA